GUUCCGGUAGCUCAGCAGGAAGAGCAGCAGCCCAUUGAAGCAGCAAGUGGGCGGUUCAAGUCCGCCCCGGAACA
rnacentral:tRNA from 1 species